UAACAAUAUUCUAAUAUGGCAGAUAAAUGCUAUGAACUUAAGAUUCAUCCAUAAAGAUCAAUUCUUUUUUUAGAA
rnacentral:tRNA from 1 species